UUUUUCUCCUCGAGGUGAGAUUUAAAGAGGUAGCAGGACUUUCAGAAAUGUAAAACAUCCAUUGAAAUGCCCGUUUUAAUACUUUACUUGGCAAUUAAUUAUCUUUACAGUCUCUUUUGUUUUUAGCAUUUCUUCACAUUUAUUACUCGGUGUUUGAUGACAAUCAUGGGAAGCAUUAAUAAUGAACUUGCACUGAACUUGGAGGUAGGUGUUGCUGGUGUAGGAUUUAGAAUGUGUGAAAACUACAACAAAGAAUGAACAAAGCACUCUGCUUCACACUCCUCACUGUGACAAACACUGCAGGGUUUGCUUCUUUUGCUUCGUUUGGUAAAUCAUCUGCGUUUGUGCGCACUUUUCUUAAACUGAAAAAUGCUAAAAAUAUGGAGACACAAUCUGCACAUGAAGGAAAACAGAUGUAAAUGUCAUUUUAUCAACAAUCAAACGGCGUCAUGACAGAUCAGACAUCAAGGUCAAUGUAUUGAAUUUUGCACUGCAAUUAAGGAUUCCUUGCCGUGUGCUAAUUUCAUUGAACCAUUAUCAAACAAUCCAACAAUAGAGGGUUUGGAACUGGAUGGGACUUUGGUUUUUCUCUAUAUAUUUCAUGCUGUAGUUGUAACUUCAAGUUUAAUUUGCUUUUAAGCAUCCAUUUACAGCCUCGUUCUGUGUGACCCCUUCGAAGAAAUGCCCUAAGCAGCAAAACUGGAUGAAAAAAUCAUUAAAAAUAUGCUGAAAAUAUUAAAUGCAUGCAUUUUUAUUUGGAAAUGAUAACUUCAUGACAGCAAGACUGGUAGCAAUAUCUCCAGUUUAACUGUUAAGGUUGAAAUAAAUACAAUCUUUUUUUCUUCUUCGUUUGGAUUAGAAAGUGCUAAACAGAAGGUCAGGCCAGAUCAAAUGUCUAUACAAUACACACACACUCUAAAUGGAAAAAAAGGAGUCUUCCAGACUUGAAGUUCUCUAUCAAGUUAAUGUAAGUGCUUCUUUUCUGAUUUUACUAUCAUUUCAUAUAUAUAUACACAAUCUGAUGAGGGUCUUCUCUCUACAAGUCGUCAAUAUACACAAGAAUAUAUUCUUAAUGACCUCUCUGGCUAAUUCAAGGUUAAAUCAACAAAAAGACAUUUUUAAGAACGUGUCCAUCUGGUAAUCUGUGUCUUCCUGAAGAUCCUGUUUGUCGCCACCAGGUGUCAGUGCAGUGUCUGGGUCCACAAGCAGAAUUGCCUCAUGUCCCACCCUGUGGAAGGACACUGAAGGCACCAUCACAGCCACUGGCCCGCUCCUCCCACCAAACAGCAGCAGGAGGAAACUGGUUCACCUCUUAUCGGCUGUCCUGGAGGUCGGAAGCCUCAAAGUCGCCAGUGAGAAGCUCCAACAGGAAUAUCUUAUUUCCUGUCAGACGUGUGGGACACACAUGACCUUCCCCUGACUGUUUAUGGGUAAACAGAAGCUCACAGGAAUCCAUUAUGACAUGUCUGUGAUUUCACUGAGAUGGGAUGUAAGGAGUCGAGAUGCUGGGUCCAUCGGGAGAAAGCAAAAGAGGAUGUCACAGAGAAACACAGAGAAGAAGAAGAAGCAGAGGAGUUUCUGCAUGAGGAGGUGAAAUGCUCAGUGGAUCCUGCAGAUGGAUGCUUGUCUGAUCCUCCUGAAGUCGGCAGACACAUACUGGACUUUGCUCAGAGGAUGUCCGAGGACAUCGUGGCCCAGGCCCUGCAGCUCUGCUGGCUGGUGGAGGAUCGCUACAAGGAGCUGCCUUUCAUCGACAGCGAAUGUGAUUAUUUCAUAUGAAGGAGCGACAUCUCCCAACUAACUGAACCUGCAGGAGAAACAAAGUUAAGCAUCAAAUACUGGAGGAAGGAGGCCUAUCUGACUGAAAUAAGUUACAAAUUCCAGAUACUUUUACUGAAUAAUGAGCCUAAAUCUUUUAUAAAUUACAGGUAACAUUCAAGAUUUUUUUCUUUACCUCCUUCUGUGUACCAGGGAUGAGUUUUUGUACACAAUUUUGACUGAAAAACUAACUUUUAUUGCAAGAACAAUCACACAAAAAGCCUGAAUCCAACUAAAUACAGUAUUCACCCAUCAAACCAUAGAGUCAUUCUGGUAGAGCAGCUGGUCACUGCAGCUUUCUGCAGAGGUUUGUGGAACUGGAAGAAAAAGGCUUAAGUGUCUUUUUUUCUCUGUAACAUCUGUAAUUGUCAUUUUUGUAUGUUGACAAUCUCCAAUCAGCUUUGCAUAUGAUGUUUUAGAGAAACGAUUCCUUAUCACUCUUUUUUAUCUUACUUUUGUGUGCAGAAACAGAUAUGAAUUUGUUGGAAUCUGUUAUGUAAUAAAUACCUGCAUAUGAAUAACA